rnacentral:rRNA from 1 species
UAGUUUGAUCCUGGCUCAAGACAAACCCUGGUGGCGUGCCUAAUACAUGCAAGUACAAGGCUGAAGGAGGAGCUUGCUUCUCUGGAUGAGUUGCGAACGGGUGAGUAACGCGUAGGUAACCUGCCUGGUAGCGGGGGAUAACUAUUGGAAACGAUAGCUAAUACCGCAUAACAUUGAAUGUUGCAUGAUAUUUGCUUAAAAGGUGCAACUGCAUCACUACCACAUGGACCUGCGUUGUAUUAGCUAGUUGGUGGGGUAACGGCUCACCAAGGCCACGAUACAUAACCCACCUGAGAGGGUGAUCGGCCACCCUGGGACUGAAACACGGCCCACACUCCUACGGGAGGCAGCAGUAGGGAAUCUUCGGCAAUGGACGGAAGUCUGACCGAGCAACGCCGCGUGAGUGAAGAAGGUUUUCGGAUCGUAAAGCUCUGUUGUAAGAGAAGAACGAGUGUGAGAGUGGAAAGUUCACACUGUGACGGUAUCUUACCAGAAAGGAACGGCUAACUACGUGCCAGCCGCCGCGGAAAUACGUAGGUCCCGAGCGUUGUCCGGAUUUAUUGGGCGUAUAGCGAGCGCAUGCGGCUAGAUAAAUCUGAAGUUAACGGCUGUGGCUUAACCAUAGUACGCUUUGCACACUGUUUAACUUGAGUGCAAGACGGGAGAGUGGAAUUCCAUGUGUAGCGGUGAAAUGCGUAGAUAUAUGCAGGAACACCGGUGGCGAAAGCCGCUCUCUGGCUUGUAUCUGACGCUGAGGCUCGAAAGCGUGGAGAGCAAACAUGAUUAGAUACCCCUGCAGUCCACGCCGUAAACGAUGAGUGCUAGGUGUUAGGACCCUGCUCCGGGGUUUAGUGACCGUAGCUAACGCACUACGCACUCCGCCUGGGGAGUACGAUCGCAUGUUGAAACUGCAUAAGGAACUGACGCUUGCCCGCACAAGCUGGUGGAGCAUGUGUCUAACUAGAAGCAACCCGAGAACCCUACAGGUCUUGACAUGCCAUCUGACCGACUCUGAGAAUAAGCUUGCAUCCGGAACAGAUGCGACAGUCGUUGCAUCGUGGUCGUACGCUCAGGUCAUCGAAUGCUCGGCUUAAGUGCCCCUUAGCGGAGCGCAACCCCCUCUAUGUUAGGU